GCCCUCGUAGUGUAGUGGUCAGCACGCUCGACUUGUAUUCGAGAGGUCCGUGGUUCGAGUCCCGGCGAGGGCA